GACGAACGCUGGCGGCGUGCCUAAUACAUGCAAGUAGAACGCACAGUUUAUACCGUAGCUUGCUACACCAUAGACUGUGAGUUGCGAACGGGUGAGUAACGCGUAGGUAACCUGCCUGGUAGCGGGGGAUAACUAUUGGAAACGAUAGCUAAUACCGCAUAAUAUUGAUUAUUGCAUGGUAAUUGAUUGAAAGAUGCUAUUGCAUCACUACCAGAUGGACCUGCGUUGUAUUAGCUAGUAGGUGAGGUAACGGCUCACCUAGGCGACGAUACAUAGCCGACCUGAGAGGGUGAUCGGCCACACUGGGACUGAGACACGGCCCAGACUCCUACGGGAGGCAGCAGUAGGGAAUCUUCGGCAAUGGACGAAAGUCUGACCGAGCAACGCCGCGUGAGUGAAGAAGGUUUUCGGAUCGUAAAGCUCUGUUGUAAGAGAAGAACGGGUGUGAGAGUGGAAAGUUCACACUGUGACGGUAUCUUACCAGAAAGGGACGGCUAACUACGUG
rnacentral:rRNA from 1 species